rnacentral:misc_RNA from 1 species
AACUCUCAACCCUCUUACUUUUGUUUACCAUUGGUAUCAGGGCUUGGAUCAUGAGUGCCUGCUGGACCUGUGCAUCAGCUCACUCUAAACGUAUCAGUGGUCUGCUUCCUCUGUCUUGCAGAUAGAUCUGGUGUAAUAGGUUUUAUUCACUGGGCUUCUGUGUGGGCAAAUGGAUGCUUGUCACUCCCAAACAAUUACUAAGU